CGAUUUCGAGAGUUUGAUCGGAAUCAGAGCCGAGGUUGCUCAGACUGAGCCGCUCGGUCUCCAAUUCCUCCUCUGAUUUCCCCGAUUCCUGCUCCGAAACCCUCAAUUUCUUCGACGGCGGCAAAGACUCCUCCGAACUCCCUUCCAUCGACAAAUCCCUCUUCGAAACCCUAAAUUCCACCGAUUCCGCCUCCGAAGUCACCAGAUCAGCAUCCCGCCCCAAAUCCACAGCGCCGUCGCCUUCCUCGCCGCAACCACCGACGACCACGAUGACGCCGCUCCCAUCUCCUAUAUCUCCAACUCCCUCGAAAUCACGAUAGUUGUCAUCGCCGAUCUGAUCAAGAUCGAGCAAGGGAGUCUUCUCCUGGGAGGUUCCGACGAGCGAGGACUCCGGCGGGGUCUCGAAAACGUCCUGGUCGGCGCUGCUCUUGUCCUCGGCUGCAUCCUCAUCGAAACUGUCGGGGAGAGAGAGCAUGACGAUUCCGGCGGUGGCUGCCGGAAUAGUAGUACUGGAAUCGGAAGAUGAGUCGGUACUGGAGUAGUCAUCGUCCAUGAGGUCGGUGUUUUGGGAGUGAAAGGGGGAGCCAGACUGCAGGCUCGAUUUUUUGUUUUAUAGUGUCUAGGAAUUUUUUAUUUUUUUCUUAUUUUGUUGAAUGGUGUUUUGAGUUUUGACUUUUGGGAGAUUCCCGCCCAUUUGGUAAUCAACGGUGGAUGAUAACUUAUAAAUUUGGACUGGGCGGGCUUUUGCUCUUUUUGAUAUUCCCGCUCAUUUUAAAUUUUAGAGACUUCUAGCAUACAAGUGACAUCUUUGACAAGCAGCCCGUCUAGCUCAGUUGGUAGAGCGCAAGGCUCUUAACCUUGUGGUCGUGGGUUCGAGCCCCACGGUGGGCGC
rnacentral:tRNA from 1 species